rnacentral:rRNA from 1 species
GACGAACGCUGGCGGCGUGCUUAACACAUGCAAGUCGAACGGAAAGGCCCUGCUUUUGUGGGGUGCUCGAGUGGCGAACGGGUGAGUAACACGUGAGUAACCUGCCCUUGACUUUGGGAUAACUUCAGGAAACUGGGGCUAAUACCGGAUAGGAGCUCCUGCUGCAUGGUGGGGGUUGGAAAGUUUCGGCGGUUGGGGAUGGACUCGCGGCUUAUCAGCUUGUUGGUGGGGUAGUGGCUUACCAGGGCUUUGACGGGUAGCCGGCCUGAGAGGGUGACCGGCCACAUUGGGACUGAGAUACGGCACAGACUCCGACGGGAGGCAGCAGUGGGGAAUAUUGCACAAUGGGCGGAAGCCUGAUGCAGCAACGCCGCGUGCGGGAUGACGGCCUUCGGGUUGUAAACCGCUUUCGCCUGUGACGAAGCGUGAGUGACGGUAAUGGGUAAAGAAGCACCGGCUAACUACGUG